rnacentral:rRNA from 1 species
UACGUAGGGCGCAAGCGUUGUCCGGAAUCAUUGGGCGUAAAGAGCGCGCAGGCGGUCGUUCAAGUCGCGUGUGAAAGCCCCCGGCUCAACUGGGGAGGGUCACGCGAUACUGAUCGACUCGAAGGCAGGAGAGGGUAGUGGAAUUCCCGGUGUAGUGGUGAAAUGCGUAGAUAUCGGGAGGAACACCAGUGGCGAAGGCGACUACCUGGCCUGUUCUUGACGCUGAGGCGCGAAAGCUAGGGGAGCAAACGGG